UACGUAGGGUGCAAGCGUUGUCCGGAAUUAUUGGGCGUAAAGAGCUCGUAGGCGGUCUGUUGCGUCGGCUGUGAAAACCCGAGGCUCAACCUCGGGCCUGCAGCCGAUACGGGCAGACUAGAGUUCGGCAGGGGAGACUGGAAUUCCUGGUGUAGCGGUGAAAUGCGCAGAUAUCAGGAGGAACACCGAUGGCGAAGGCAGGUCUCUGGGCCAUAACUGACGCUGAGAAGCGAAAGCAUGGGGAGCGAACAGG
rnacentral:rRNA from 1 species